AUUGAACGCUGGCGGCAGGCUUAACACAUGCAAGUCGAGCGGAGAUGAGGUGCUUGCACCUUAUCUUAGCGGCGGACGGGUGAGUAAUGCUUAGGAAUCUGCCUAUUAGUGGGGGACAACAUUCCGAAAGGAAUGCUAAUACCGCAUACGUCCUACGGGAGAAAGCAGGGGAUCUUCGGACCUUGCGCUAGUAGAUGAGCCUAAGUCGGAUUAGCUAGUUGGUGGGGUAAAGGCCUACCAAGGCGACGAUCUGUAGCGGUUCUGAGAGGAUGAUCCGCCACGCUGGGACUGAGACACGGCCCAGACUCCUACGGGAGGCAGCAGUGGGGAAUGUUGGACAAUGGGCGGAAGCCUGAUCCAGCCAUGCAGCGUGUGUGAAGAAGGCCUUUUGGUUGUAAAGCACUUUAAGCGAGGAAGAGGCUACCUAGAUUAAUACUCUGGGAUAGUGGACGUUACUCGCAGAAUAAGCACCGGCUAACUCUGUGCCAGCCGCCGCAGUAAAAC
rnacentral:rRNA from 1 species